GAAAAAGAGAGAGAGAGUCGGAAAAAGUGAAAAAUUGAUCAAAAUUCAGCGGAAAAGGUUUUUUAAGGCAAAGUUUGGAUAGCUGAGAGAGGUAAAUGCUAAAAUGUAUUACAUGCGGUCACAUAAUUCCAAAACAAUGACUAUAUAUAGAGGUUGCAACAGAAUGGAGGAAUGAGAGAAUAUCGCCGAUUAGGACUAUUGAUUGAUCAUAUAGGUCGGUCGAUAUGAAGAAACACUACUUUUACUUGUUCCCUCUUGCAGUACCUGUUUUGCUGCACUAUCUAAUGAUGACCAGUUGCACAGCCAUGAAAAGAUUAAGUUUAGGCACUGAUCAAUCUGCUCUUUUAGCCCUGAAAGCCCAUAUCACUUCAGGACAGCAAGAAUUCUUGUCAGAAAACUGGUCUUCUACAGCUGCUGCAUCCUCUGUCUGUGACUGGAUAGGAGUCCAGUGCAGCUCUCGACACCAAAGAGUGACUGCUUUAAAUAUUUCAAACAUGGGACUCACCGGCACAAUACCUCCGGAUUUGGGAAACCUCUCCUUUCUUGUUUCUCUUGAUCUGAGAAAUAACUACUUCCACGGAAAUCUGCCCGAAGAGUUGUCACACCUGCGCCGCCCGAGGUUCGUCAGGUUAACCACUAACAACUUCACUGGAGAGAUUCCAAUGUGGUUUGGUCACUUCCCAGAACUCCAGUUCUUGUUUCUGGACGGCAAUGGUUUUAGUGGUUUUAUUCCUUCUUCUAUAUCCAACUUGUCAAGAGUGGAAAAGUUAGAUCUAAGCUACAAUUUCCUGGAAGGAAAUAUUCCAGAAAAGAUAGGAAAUCUUUCGGUCCUCAGAGAGCUGUAUCUAUCUGGGGAUGACUUAGUUGGUCAGAUACCAUUGAGUUUAUGCAAGUUUUCUCAACGUCAGGUGCUAGACUUGUCUAACAACAGGUUAAGCGGGCAAAUACCUAAAGAAAUUGGAAAUCUGGAGAAGCUCAAGGAGUUAUACCUCAUCACCAAUAACUUAACAGGUGAAACCGAGAGAGUGAGACAGUAAGCUGAGUCGGAGGCAGAGGAAGAAAGGUGACGAAGAGGCGAUGAGGAAGGAAGGAAGGCAGUGACGACUGACGAAGAGGAAGAGGGCGGCGGAAGAGUAGGGAGUAAGGUGUAAGGACUACGGUGUAAUUCCCCGAGAAAUUGGCAAACUGCAUGGUUUGAAACUUCUCGUGUUGGGGCGUAACAACUUGACAGGUAAAUCAAGUCUCUGUAUAGCUUCAACAUUGAUGGUCUAUUUACAAUCAUGCAACUAGCAAUAUUUGGAGUAAGUUCUGGGUGAAAUGAAUUCAUGUCAUGUCUAUUUCAAUGUCCAUAAACUUCAGAUACUCCUACUUACUAUUUGGGGUGAGCAUUUGGUACAAAUUCGACAUUUUGGUGCAUCCAAUUCGAUAAAUUUGGUUAUGUGACCUAUAAAAUCUUACACCUAUUUCAAUUUUGAAUUAGAGCUAACUGAAUUCAUUUCAAUUUUGAAAUCUUACACCUAUUUCAAUUUUGAAUUCAUUUCAAUUCUGAAUUCAAAUUCGGGACUGGAAAUGAAAACGAUUUAACCGAAUUAAAUGGGAAAAAAUUGCAAUUGGUAUUCAUUUGUUCAAAUCAUUUGAAAAAUCGAUUAAUAUUAAUUUGUUCCCCUAUACCUAAUUAUAUCUUGAAUCCAAGCUUCAAUGAUUUAGGGAACAGAAAAAGUGAUUAAUUCAAAUCAAAAUGCAACUUACUUGUGUAGUUACAAAGUUACAAUUUACAAUGAGGAAUGAUUAGUGAUAAGUGAUAACUUUGCUAAUUCACUUGUGCAGUUGUGUACACUUAUACUGCUAUACAUACACUUGUAUAGUACUAAUUAUGUUUAAUAUUUAGUACUAUACUUAUAUAGUUGUACUUAUUAUCUAUUUGUGUAUACAGCGAUAAGUAUCAUAGUUAGUGUACUAUAAUAGUUAUAUUACAAAUAUUGUAAUAGUAUAUUGUACAUAAUUAUAUAUUAUUAUAGGUAUAUGAUGAUACUAUCUACUAUUUACAACUAAUAGCCUUUACUUAUAUAAAAUAUUAAUAGUAUAUAGGCUUUACCUAUAUAAUAUAUUAAUAGCAUAUAGCUAAUUUGAUAUUCAAAUGCGGUAAUAUGGGUUCUAUUUCAUUUUACUGAAUUUGAAUUCAAAAUCGAUUAUUAUCAAAUUGAAAUUCUUAUUACCUAUUUCAUAUCAAAUUAAAAUUAGGUGAAUUUGGUAAAUACCACUUUUGUACCAAAUACCAGAUACCCGAUAUCAAAUUACUAAAUUGAAUUUGAAAUAGAGUACGAAUUCGGUACUAAAUUGAAUUUGCUCAACCCCAUACUAUGGAAAACAUCCACCCAAAAAAAAAAACUUAGAAGUUCCAAAAGAGCCAUAUAUUCCUUGGACGUAUCUACUUAGAAAGUUUGUUACAACAACAUUUACUUACUUUAGAUAAACAUAAAUCCAGUGAGUAAUCAUUUUUUUCCCCUUAGUUUGCCGCCAUGUAAAAGUAUGGACCAUCAUUUUUUUUUAAACCCCUUUCUGUGCUGCAUUGGAACGAUUAUUAUGUGGAAAAAUCUUUUAUAUUAUUCGCUCUACCAUUUUUUUGGUAUUUGCGAUGUAAUUUAUGUAAGAAAUGAAAUGAUAACGAUUAAAAAAAAAGAAAGAAAAAAAUAAAAAACGGUGCUUAGA